AUUUUUUAGCAUUUUGAAUUUUCAUAUAUUAUAUAAUCAAUGGAAUGGAAAAUGAUGUUUCUUUUAGAAAAAUAGGACUCGGUACAACAAAAAUUUCAUAAUCCGGAAAAAUUAUCAUAUCCAUUUUGGCAGCGUGACCGAGGUAGUCAAGCAGGGAACUACAAAUCCUUUUUCCCCACUUAAAAUCCGAUUGUCACCUGAUCAAUAAAAAGCUCUAAAUCCCUUCGUUCUUCUAGUCUAUUGAUGCUUGUUUGAUUCUAAGCAUGAUUAGAGGGGUUUCUAUAAGAUUGUCAAUCCUUGCAUCUUCAUAACCAUACAAAAUUAUGAAAUAAUCUACACUUAUUUUCCAGCAUUGUGAUGGUCACACAUACAUCAAUAAUCCCCAACACUCUACAUCUGUGAUGGAUGUUUCAACACUCAUCCAAGUUUUCGAGUCGCUCUCCACCUGCACAGUAACAGCAUCGAUCAGAGUAAGAGAGAAGAUACCCUUUAGGCAUAUUUCAAAUUAAUACCAUAAUUCAAUACCUCAAUAUGAAUUUAAGAAGUAAAUAUUUCCAGAAUUUUU
rnacentral:lncRNA from 1 species